rnacentral:tRNA from 1 species
GGGCUGUUGGCCUAAUGGAUAAGGCGUCGGCCUCCGGAGCCGGAGAUUCCAGGUUCGAGUCCUGGGCAGCUCA